AUCCACGAGUCCCAAACAGGACGAAACGCGCGUCCUGGAU
rfam:Schistosoma haematobium scaffold667_25, whole genome shotgun sequence.